rnacentral:rRNA from 1 species
AUUGAACGCUGGCGGCAGGCCUAACACAUGCAAGUCGAGCGAGCGGCGGACGGGUGAGUAAUUUCUGGGAACCUGCCUGAUGGCGUGGGAUAACUACUGGAAACGGUAGCUAAUACCGCAUACCAUCAGAUGUGCCCAGAUGGGAUUAGAUAGUAGGUGGGGUAACGGCUCACCUAGGCGACGAACCCUAGCUGGUCUGAGUGGAUGACCAGCCACACUGGAACUGAGACACGGUCAAGAAUCCUACGGGGGGCAGCAGUGGGGAAUAUUGCACAAUGGGCGCAGGCCUGAUGAAGCCAUGCCGCGUGUGUGAAGAAGGCCUUAGGGUUGUAAAGCAAUUUCAGCGGGGAGGCGUUACCCGCAGAAGAAGCACCGGCUAACUCCGUGCCAGCAGCCGCGGUAAUAC